UAUUUUGAAAAUGGUGGCGGAUUGUUCGAUAUUUUCAAAAUAAUAAAGACAUCACAUUUUGUUUUAAAUCAAAACUAGCCAACAAUUGUAGUGGUUGGUUGGCUGGUGGCUUUUCAAAAUGAGAGCUUUUGAGUUUUUGUUAUGCUUCGUCGCCGAAUCGGGUAAUAGAUUUUAGAAUAAACUUUUGAGUUUUUGUUAUGCUUGGGAGUUCUUGUUAUUGGCGCCUAUUUUUCUUCCUUUCUUGUUUGCCUUCCACUUAACCAUUCAAA
rnacentral:lncRNA from 1 species